UUCCAUAAUAUGUUUCUUCAAAGAGAUUCAUGCUCUACUCCAUCAACUAUUUUAAUCUUACAUAAUCCAUUAAUCAUCAUAUAUAGUUGAUUAACCACUAAGAUAUUAUGCAUCUAAUAGAACACAAUACAACAUUAAAGUAGAUAUUAUGCAUCUAAUAGAACACAAUACAACAUUAAUCCUAUAAGGAAGUUUUAGCUUCUUUCACCUUUCCUUCCUUGCAAAAGGUAUGAAUCCCCUUAUAUGUUUGGAUUGAUGUCUUUCAACACCAUUCCACCCAACAAAACCAACAAUACCAAAAUCAUAAAUUAAAGUAUUGUAAGUGACAACUGCUUGGAUACUCACAAAUUUAUCUUUACACAAACUAUCAAUGAUUGUGUUAUACAUUACUAAAUCAAUCCAGAUGAGUUACAGAGCAGUUGUCAUUCGUCCAGUUUACAUAACCCAUUGAUCAAUCGUCAUGAAAGUCAAGGGCCUGCUGGACAUCACCGUUAAGACAAAGACCUUUGAAAGUGCGGCCAAGAUUACCACAUCUAGCUGAUAACUGAUAUGAAGGAUCUUGAGGAACAGAGGAAAGGAAACAUUGAAUUGACCUAAUUGACAGUAACAAUUGAUGAUUUUGUGGGAGGCAGGGUAAAAAGAGGUAUGAUGCAAUUGAGGAAGCUGUGAAUGAGGGAACGAAAUCAACAUCAUCAAAAUUGUGUGAGAAUGAGAUUGAAAUUAG
rnacentral:lncRNA from 1 species